rnacentral:rRNA from 1 species
CAGGCCUAACACAUGUAAGUCGAGCGGCAGCACAGAGAAACUUGUUUCUCGGGUGUCGAGCGGCGGACGGGUGAGUAAUGCCUGGGAAAUUGCCCUGAUGUGGGGGAUCACCAUUGGAAACGAUGGCUAAUACCGCAUGAUGCCCUUGAUUAUAAUGAACAGGAGCCAAAGAGGGGGACCUUCGGGCCUCUCGCGUCAGGAAAUGCCCAGGCGGGAUUAGCUAGUUGGUGAGGUAAGGGCUCACCAAGGCGACGAUCCCUAGCUGGUCUGAGAGGAUGAUCAGCCACACUGGAAGUGAGACACGGUCCAGACUCCUACGGGAGGCAGCAGUGGGGAAUAUUGCACAAUGGGCGCAAGCCUGAUGCAGCCAUGCCGCGUGUGUGAAGAGGGCCUUCGGGUUGUAAAGCACUUUCAGUUGUGAGGAAGGGGGUGUUGUGAAUAGCAGCAUCAUUUGACGUUAGCAACAGAAGAAGCACCGGCGAACUCCGUGCCAGCAGCCGCGGUAAUACGGAGGGUGCGAACGUUAAUCGGAAUUACUGGGCGUAAAGCGCAUGCAGGUGGUUUGUUAAGUCACAUGUGAAAGCCCCGGGCUCAACCUGGGAAUUGCAUUUGAGACUGGCAAACUAGAGUACUGUAGAGGGGGGUAGAAUUUCAGGUGUAGCGGUGUAAUGCGUAGAGAUCUGAAGGAAUACCGGUGGCGAAGGCGUCCCCCUGGACAGAUACUGACACUCAGAUGCGAAAGCGUGGGGAGCAAACAGGUUUAGAUACCCUGGUAGUCCACGCCGUAAACGAUGUCUACAUGGAGGUUGUGGCCUUGAGCCGUGGCUUUCGGAGCUAACGCGUUAAGUAGACAGCCUGGGGAGUACGGUCGCAAGAUUAAAACUCAAAUGAAAUGACGGGGGCCCGCACAAGCGGUGGAGCAUGUGGUUUAAUUCGAUGCAACGCAAAGAACCUUACCUACUCUUGACAUCCAGAGAAGCCAGCGAAGACGCAGGUGUGCCUUCGGGAGCUCUGAGACAG